GUAACAUAUAGUUAAUGUACCUUCAAGACUGGGAUAGCCACUGGAAACGGUGAUUAAUACUAGAUAUACCUUCAUAUCAAAAGCUAUGAAGGGAAACGUUUUUUCGCUUGAAGAUCAGACUAUAUCCCAUCAGUUAGUUGGUAGGGUAAUGGCCUACCAAGGCAAUGACGGGUAGCGGGUUUGAGAGGAUGAUCCGCCACACUGGUACUGAGACACGGACCAGACUCCUACGGGAGGCAGCAGUGAGGAAUAUUGCACAAUGGAGGAAACUCUGAUGCAGCAACGCCGCGUGGAGGAUGACGCAUUUCGGUGUGUAAACUCCUUUUAUGAGUCAAGAAAAUGACGGUAGCUCAUGAAUAAGCACCGGCUAACUCCGCGCCAGCAGCCGCGGUAAUACGGAGGGGACAAGCGUUAUUCGGAAUCACUGGGCGUAAAGGACGCGUAGGCGGGUUAUUAAGUCGGGUGUGAAAUCCAAUGGCUCAACCAUUGAACUGCAUUCGAAACUGGUGACCUAGAGUAUGGAAGGGGCAGGUGGAAUUAGUGGUGUAGGGGUAAAAUCCGUAGAUAUCACUAGGAAUACCGAAAGCGAAGGCGACCUGCUGGGACAUUACUGACGCUGAGGCGUGAAAGCGUGGGGAGCAAACAGGAUUAGAUACCCUGGUAGUCCACGCCCUAAACGAUGAAUGCUAGUCGUCGGGGAGCUUGUCUCUUCGGUGAUGCACUUAACAGAUUAAGCAUUCCGCCUGGGGAGUACGGUCGCAAGAUUAAAACUCAAAGGAAUAGACGGGGACCCGCACAAGUGGUGGAGCAUGUGGUUUAAUUCGAAGAUACGCGAAGAACCUUACCUAGCCUUGACAUUGAUAGAAUACCCUAGAGAUAGAGUAGUGCCUUUCGGGGAACUUGAAAACAGGUGCUGCACGGCUGUCGUCAGCUCGUGUCGUGAGAUGUUGGGUUAAGUCCCGCACGAGCGC
rnacentral:rRNA from 1 species